UCUUGGAAGGUCUCAUGUCAGCAGCAACCGUCACGUUGUACGGCCCAGACUCCAUAGCUGCCGACCGAUUUGUAAGACAAAGUGAAAACCUAAACCAUCUGUCUGACACAACUUUAAGAACUUCAAAGUCAACCUGUCUACUGUUUCUCAUCGUAUUCUGAGCCUCUCAGCCCAACCAAUCACACACCGCCAGCGAACCCAGUAAGUCCUCCCCCGAAGCAGAGAACCCAAACCCGGACUUUUGCGCCGCCCCAUAACUGAAUUGCAUAAAUCGUCUUCACGUCCGCCACAAUAACCAGUCUCUCCCCCAAAGUCUUUGAGUCUUCAGUUCAAAGAAACAUAAAAAACGUCCCUGAUGAUGGCGCCACAGUAAAACCCACCUCUCAAUUCUCCGACUUGUCGUAUUGGGUUUUGGGUGGGUUUAUUGGUUUUGGAGCUGGAAUGGGUUCAGAUGCUAAGGAAAUGGAUUUGGUAACUCAAUGCAAGACCAAGUUGGUGUCUUUUCGAGUUAAGGAGCUCAAGGAUGUUCUGACCCAGCUGGGUUUUUCAAAGCAAGGGAGGAAGCAGGAUCUAAUUGACAGAAUCUUAGCAUCAGUUUCAGAUGAAGAAACAUCCAAUACACGCAGUUUGUCAAAGAAAAAACACAUUGAGAAGAAUGGAGUAGUGCAAGUAAUUGAUGAAGCUUACAGAAAGAUGCAGAGUACACCGUCAACGGAUUCUCCGACAAAGGAACAAAGUGGUUCAGAUGGCUGCAGUGUGAAGCCCUCUAGAAAGGAAGUUAAAAUUUUGAAUGUGACAGACGUGAAGAUUUCUUGCCCCUGUAAAAGUUCAUUGUCAACUGAUUCAAUGAUACAGUGUGUAGAUCCAAUAUGUCAAGUUCAGCAACAUAUUGGUUGCGUGAUUAUUCCUGAGAAAACAAAGGAUUGCAGUCCACCAGUUCCGCCUCUUUUCUACUGUGAAAUGUGUCGUCUCAAACGAGCAGAUCCUUACUGGGUGACUGUGGUGGAUCUAGUAUCUGCAGUGAAGUUAAGUGCUUCAAAUAUUUCAAUUGAUGGUGCAAAUCCAACUCAGAAUGUGGAGAAAAAUUUUCAACUUUCCAGAGCCAAUAGAGAUCUACUUCAGCAUAAUGAAUAUGAUGUUCAGGCUUGGUGUAUACUUCUCAAUGAUAGUGUUUCAUUUAGGUUGCAAUGGCCUCAGUUUGCAGAAUUACAAGUUAAUGGUACGAGUGUUAGGGCAGUUAAUAGACCUGGACAUCAAUUGUUAGGUGCUAAUGGCCGUGAUGAUGGAGCAUUAAUCACAUUUUGCAUUGGGGAGGGAAUCAAUAAGAUUUCAUUAUCAGGAUGUGAUAAUCGUGCUUUCUGUUUUGGCGUCAGACUGGUAAAACGACGAACAUUUCAGCAGGUUCUCAACCUGAUUCCUAAAGAAGAAGAUGGUGAGCUUUUUGAGGAUGCACUUGCGCGGGUUCGUCGUUGCAUUGGUGGUGGGGCUGCUAUGGCACAUGAAGAUAGUGAUAGUGAUUUAGAAGUGAUUUCAGAUUCAGUUUCCGUUAAUCUCCGGUGCCCUAUGAGUGGUUCUCGAAUGAAGGUAGCUGGCAGAUUCAAACCUUGUGCUCACAUGGGUUGCUUUGAUCUCGAAACUUUCGUGGAGCUAAACCAGCGAUCUAGGAAGUGGCAAUGCCCCAUAUGCCUCAAGAACUACUCGUUGGAGGACAUCAUCAUUGACCGUUAUUUCAAUCGCAUCACAACUAUGAUGCGAAUUUGUGGGGAAGACAUAACAGAGAUCAAUGUGAAGCCAGAUGGUUCUUGGAGUGCAAAGACUAAGGGUGAGUUUAGCGACCUUGCGCAAUGGCACUUUCCUGAUGGAUCUCCAUAUGUUGGUAUGGAUUUGGGAACCACAGGCCAGUCCAACCCAGAAUCAUGUUCAAACCAACACCAUAGGUUUAUGUCUAAUCAUGGUGGGGUCAGUGAAGUUGGUAAACAUCUGGGUGAUCCAUUAGACAAAGAAUUUGAGGCUUUCGAGCAAAAGGUUAUAACAAUGAGCAGCAGUGACACUUCCUGUGGCAGAGAGGAUGAAGACUUUAUUAUGAAUCACAAAAGCAGUGUUCAUAUAGAUGUCUCCGCAUAUGAUGACAACGAAGUCAAUUCACUUUCUCCUAAUUUUGCCUCAACAUUUGAAAUUGGGAAUGGUACUUCUGCUGAAGCUGUUAAUGCUGGUAUUAUUAUUCUCAGUGACUCAGAAGAUGAAACAGUCAACUUGGUUUCUCCAAGAGUUAUCAACAAUACUUGCCCAGUAAGCAGCAGUGCAUGCUCCCUGUCUGCAGCUCCUGGCAUUUCAGACCCAUAUGCGUCUUGUUUGGGUCUUUUAAAUGGAAAUGGUAAUGACACUGGGAUGUCACAAUAUGCAUAUCCUACUGGUACUCACGCCGAUCCUGGGUUCCAAUUAUUUGGUACUGAUUCAGAUCUCUCCGAUGCUUUUAUUGAUUUGGAGCAGACAUCAGUUGAUGGUUCAGCUCCAAUGAAUGGUAACACAUUGGUUUCAGAUAAAAAUCUAGAACCAAGCGGACAUGUCUUAAACUCUUCUGUUUCCCAUACCAAUGCUAACUUGGCUAGCUUGGUUGAUAAUCCUUUGGGCUUUGGUAGUGAGGACCCCUCAAUGCAAAGUUUUCUUCCAAGUCAUCCCUCUUGUUUGUUGGAGCAGUCUGAUUUUGGACAACAUCAACCAGUCUCAAAUGGCAUUACUAGUGAUUGGGUUGCUCUUAGCCUUGGUAUAGGUGAAAGUGUUCCCAAUGAAGUUGAUGCAAAUGCUGAACCUGCAGACACAAAUGGACUAUAUUCAAGAAACCAAUGUGGAUCAAAUAAGGUGGCUUUAAUCACGGAUAGAAAUGAGGGAUCUAAGUCGAAAUCUAACAGAGCAAAUAUAAGGAAACUUUCGGAUGGACCUUUCUCCUUUCCCCGUCAGCCACGGUCUGUGAGACCGCGAGUGUAUCUGUCAGUAGAUUCCAAUUCUGAAUAGACAAGGAUAAACAAACACCUUAAUUUUUGUAAGUUCAAGGUUUCAGCCAUGUGCAAAGCAUAUUUGUUGGAAGUCCCUCUCAUCACAGAUUCACUCUCAUUCUGUUAGGAGCAGUUCUGGAGCCUCUUUAUUUAAUGGUGGGUUUGACUUGCUCCACUGGAACCAAUUCUGAACUGAAAUUGCCAUCGCAUAGAAACUAAUUCCUAUAAAUCCACCACUUGCUUAUAAACAGACGUAGUGGAAGCCUAACCGUUAUAACUUAUAACCAACAGGCGGGUGCUCUUUUAGUGCCUCCCGGACCAUCAAAGUUUAGUACUUUUAGAUGUUUUAGCUGCAAUGUAAAAAAAAAAGAGUUUCAAUCUGAAAGCUAGUCAAGCCUGUAACAUUUUGUACUUUAUCAUAGUAGUAGUGGGUGGGUUCCUGUUUCUUCCCUAUAUGGUUUAUUGAUUGGAUAUAUACUGGAGUUGAGUGUACAUAGAAGAUAACAUGGAAGUGUGGAUUUCCAUCCUGUCUGGUUACUUGGACUUGAGAUAAUCUUGCAGUGUCACAUUCGCCAAUUAAUAUUUUUUUUUCUCACAAGAUAAAUGCUUCUUCGUCUGUGCUGACUUUAGACAGAGACGGGAAGAGAUGGGCACCGGGGUGAAGUAGGCUAAAAUAUCAUUACAUUAGUGUAACUGUUCUGUACUAGUUACAGAUUAGUGCCAGUGUUCGGUGGUUAAGAGGAGGUAGUAACCUGUACUUCCCCGAAUAUGAUGGCCAAAUUUUCUGGUUACUUUUAUUUGUACAUACAGAGAUAUCUUUGAUAUGCAGCAUCUUGAUUACUCCCCACCUACCAUUGGUAUUC